GAAUAUGAGAGUGAUCUGGCUGUGACAUCUGUCACCCCAUUGAUGUCCAGAAUUGAUUCACCUGAUCUGGCUGGCUAGGCAGGUGUCCCCUUACUCCCUCACUGCUCCAUGUACAUCCUUCCCAAAGCUGGGUGGUUGGUCAAAGAAGACGACAAUCUCCAAUAGAGGAGGACCUGUCUUUGGACAAGGGUAUAUCAGUAGCUGCAUUCCCCUGCUAGAACCUCCAAACAAGCUCUCAAAAUAGCUGUGUUGAGGAAACUCAAGAGAAUUCCAGAUAACACACGGAAGGAAUUCAAAAUUCUAUCAGAUAAAUUU
rnacentral:snRNA from 10 species